rnacentral:rRNA from 1 species
CCUAACGGGAGGCUGCAGUGGGGAAUAUUGCACAAUGGGCGCAAGCCUGAUGCAGCCAUGCCGCGUGUGUGAAGAAGGCCUUCGGGUUGUAAAGCACUUUCAGCGGGGAGGAAGGCGUUAAGGUUAAUGACCUUGUCGAUUGACGUUACCCGCAGAAGAAGCACCGGCUAACUCCGUGCCAGCAGCCGCGGUAAUACGGAGGGUGCAAGCGUUAAUCGGAAUUACUGGGCGUAAAGCGCACGCAGGCGGUCUGUCAAGUCGGAUGUGAAAUCCCCGGGCUCAACCUGGGAACUGCAUUCGAAACUGGCAGGCUAGAGUCUUGUAGAGGGGGGUAGAAUUCCAGGUGUAGCGGUGAAAUGCGUAGAGAUCUGGAGGAAUACCGGUGGCGAAGGCGGCCCCCUGGACAAAGACUGACGCUCAGGUGCGAAAGCGUGGGGAGCAAACAGGAUUAGAUACCCUAGUAGUC